rnacentral:rRNA from 1 species
UACGUAGGGGGCAAGCGUUGUCCGGAAUCAUUGGGCGUAAAGAGCGUGUAGGCGGCUCGGUAAGUCCGCUCUGAAAGCCCGGGGCUCAACCCCGGGAGGCGGGCGGAUACUGUCGGGCUAGAGUCCGGAAGAGGCGAGUGGAAUUCCUGGUGUAGCGGUGAAAUGCGCAGAUAUCAGGAGGAACACCAAUGGCGAAGGCAGCUCGCUGGGACGGUACUGACGCUGAGACGCGAAGCGUGGGAGCAAACAGG